UACGUAGGGUGCGAGCGUUGUCCGGAUUUAUUGGGCGUAAAGAGCUCGUAGGCGGUUUGUCGCGUCUGCUGUGAAAUCCCGAGGCUCAACCUCGGGCUUGCAGUGGGUACGGGCAGACUAGAGUGCGGUAGGGGAGACUGGAAUUCCCGGUGUAGCGGUGAAAUGCGUAGAUAUCGGGAGGAAUACCUAUGGCGAAAGCAGGCUACUGGACCGUCACUGACUCUGAUCUGCGAAAGCUAGGGGAGCAAACAGG
rnacentral:rRNA from 1 species